UACGGGGGGGGCAAGCGUUGUUCGGAAUUACUGGGCGUAAAGGGCUCGUAGGCGGCCAACUAAGUCAGACGUGAAAUCCCUCGGCUUAACCGGGGAACUGCAUCUGAUACUGGAUGGCUUGAGUUCGGGAGAGGGAUGCGGAAUUCCAGGUGUAGCGGUGAAAUGCGUAGAUAUCAGGAGGAACACCGGUGGCGAAGGCGGCUACCUGGACAGAAACUGACGCUGAGGCGCGAAAGCUAGGGGAGCAAACAGG
rnacentral:rRNA from 1 species